CAGCCGCCACGGUAAUACGUAGGGUGCAAGCGUUAAUCGGAAUUACUGGGCGUAAAGCGUGCGCAGGCGGUUGUGCAAGACAGAUGUGAAAUCCCCGAGCUUAACUUGGGAACUGCAUUUGUGACUGCACGGCUAGAGUGUGUCAGAGGGGGGUAGAAUUCCACGUGUAGCAGUGAAAUGCGUAGAUAUGUGGAGGAAUACCGAUGGCGAAGGCAGCCCCCUGGGAUAACACUGACGCUCAUGCACGAAAGCGUGGGGAGCAAACAGGAUUAGAUACCCCCGUAGUCCCUGUCUCUUAUAC
rnacentral:rRNA from 1 species